CUGAUUUUGAAAUUUUGUUUUGUAUGUGUCUAAAAUUUUAUAUGUGUUUUAUAUUCGAAUAUGCCAACAGCUACUAACAAUACUAUUUAAUAUUUUCCAUAUGAUUUUAGACAUCUGUGGAGUGUGUAGUAGGAAAUAAGUAAGCAUUUAAGCAUGUCAUAGCAACCUGUGGAACACAUCCAGACAUAUCCAACCAUACACUGCUGUGCGAUCAAUCGAAAUAUUUCUCCUCGUUAGCAACUAUUUGGAAGGUUUUGGCUAGACGAUAUGAAAGAACAGGCCCUAGAGGACCUUACAACGUAAUAAAACUCUGACCUUUUUAUUUAAACACACUGAUACUGUGCUUUGAAUUCUGGGCUUCCAGGCACUCGUCGAUGUUUCAUCCCUUUAUUAUUUUCUUUAUUGUGUAUUCAACGCGCACGUUAGCCCGCACACCAACCUCGUCCCCAGGGUCUUCCUCGUGGUGGCGCGUGAGCUGAGGAAGACCCACUGAGCUAUACUAUAUUACUGGAGGAAGUGCUCGGCAAAAAAAGUGUCCGCAAAAACAUGGCGGAUUUUCGCGCCAUAUGACGCCAUUUCCAUGACAACUGGUUCCUCCGGCUCAUGAAAUUACCACUGACCAGGCUCAAUUCUGAGCCCGCUACAAUUUUCACACCCCCCUGGUUUUAUCAAAAAUAUUUUUGCUUUUCGACGUUUUUGCAGUAAAUUCUCGUUGUUUUUUAUAUUUUUUCGACUUUUGACCAUUGGUUCAAAAAUUUAAAAGUCGUACACACUAUUCUCACCCGCGAAAGACAAAAAACCGAUAUGAAAACCCCGAAAAAUUUAGGCAAAGACGAUAUUUGAUGGCACAGCUAUUCAGGUAAAUUUUCACAUACUAUUGAUAUGCUUUUUAAUCUUUUUAAUUUUUGAAAGAUAGUGGGAGUAAAUGAUAGAAUAUAAUCCAUUAGAUAACAGGCUCUUUGUAUAGUAUAACGUAUUAUUUUCCGCCGUGUAUUCAAAGUCUUGUCGUAGGCUACUGACAAAUACAGAAACUUUGUUUUUAUAUUCAAAGUUCUUUUUUUACUUUUAUACUAGCUUUGUUAAAUUGUUGGCUGGCCAUGGUUUUUGUUAAACAAAUUUUGUUUUAUUUAAUUCAGUUGAAUCAGUUUUUUCCCUCAAAUCAAAAGGGGUUUUCUAUAUAGACUGAUGGCUGAUUGAAAUCUGACAUGCUUGAUUUUAUGCAAUUGUAUGUGCUAUUAAAAUGUUAAAGUGUAUAUACAACUGUAAAGGCAUGAAACAAUGUGCUUCUAUCUAUAUUCUUUGUGUUUAUAUACACUAGAGUUUGUGUUUAUUAUAGUAUGAAUAAUCUAGGGUGCCAGUGGAAGCUAGCCUAGGGGUACCAGAAGCUCAGGAUACUGUGGGCAACUUAAUAUCUGGUAAUAUGAUUUCUACCUAGAUUUCUGACUGACAUGUUGAAUUGAGGAUUCUUGAACCACUAGAAAUAGGAUUGUACUUCUUGAAUGUUGGGUACCAAUCACAAGUGUAGUCAAGUGUAGGUAUAAGCAAAGAAUCUAGAUUAUAGACUUUAUAGGGUUGCACUGGAUCUCAUUAUACAGGCCAGAACUGAGAAAGUCACACAUGCUAGUCAGACAUCAAGUCAGAAACAAUUUAGUUGGUAGAUAAUGUCACUUCCAGUCCAUGCAAGUGGAUUUAUUUGGGGUUUUGUUCAUUUCAGCCCUCUCUCUGUGCACCCCUGUAUAAUGCAACUACCUGAAACUAAGAAAUCAAUGAACUUCAACAUUUCAGGUGAAAGACCUAUAGUAUUAUUUUUCAGGUAGUUGCAUGAUACAUUGAAGCCUUUAAAUAGUGUGGUGGCUUAAGCUGCUUUUCUCAUUCCCUUUCUUCUCUUUCUUACUCUUUUGUCUCCAGUGAAAACUUUAUUUUACAACAUUUUAAUUACAUAAUCUCUUUUUGGUCUAAUUGCAGAAUUAUUUGAUGGUGAGACAGUUCAUAGUUCAACCUCUUUAUUAAAGAAUAAUCAAUGAUCAAUUAUUAGAAAUAAUUAAUUUUGUUAGCAGUGAUAAAACUAUCCAGACAAGUUAUUAUUAUUAUGACUUUGUAGCCAGAUGAGUACGAUUUUGCUUUGGCUGUUCAGUAUAUUGAUCCAUUGUGAUAUGUCUUGUGGUACCUGUGAAUGACUUUACCUGCAAAAUAAUGAAUGAAUGUAACAUUACAUUAAGAUACAUCCUUACACUGCAAUAUAAUUAUGUAAAUAUAGAUGUUCAGUGUGAAGAAUAUGGUCUUUGACACUCUUUGUAUAUAAUAAACAUGCUAUUGUGAAAUGGAAAUGAUCAAAUAAAGUUAUUUCUGCAACAGCCCUUGCAUUCAAACACCUUAUUUGUAUUUUUCUUGUUCAUGCUUGAGCAUCAGCCUCAGGAUAAGCAAAUUCCAUUGGAUUUGUGAGAGCACUUGAACUAUAUUGGGUCAUUACAUGAAUUACAGAAAAGAUUAAGACUCCCACAGCCUGUGCUACAAAAAACGUUACAGCUGUGACAAUGUAGAGGGGUGAUCCAAAUAAUAAAAAUGUUUAAUAUGGACUUAAAAUUAUUAUGCAAUUGAGUGCACCAGCACUUUCCUCUUUAACAAAUAAAAUUAUCUAGCAUUGGACUGAGCAAGAUAACAAAGUAGGGCACAGUGCCCCAAUAAUGGUUUAAAAUAAAUUUAAAUGCUGAAUUUUUUGAAAGUGCCAGAGUGGCAACUGGCAGGCUACUGAAAAGGUAGGUUGUGGACAUGCAUCCUAAGUAAAUACUGCUACAAAAACCUGGUAGUUAGCACUUAAAAGUUAAAACCAAUCACGAAUUUCAUUAUUUCAAAG
rnacentral:lncRNA from 1 species